rnacentral:snoRNA from 10 species
AUGAGCGAUGAGAGGGUAUCAUGAUCCGAAGACCAUGAUAAAUCCAAGUCUGUGUAUCUGAGUUCCAAA